rnacentral:rRNA from 1 species
CCAAUGAAAGUUGAGGUACAAUUCUUCCUUUAAAAUAUCGUGCAUUGCACGGGCUUGAAACUAGUUUGAAUUCAAAACAAGCUCUAUUGCCAAUAAAGUUCCAGGCCAAGAACCAGAACAAAAUAAUAUUGUGCUCAAACAGCAACAAUUACCAAAAAUGACAAACUAAGCAAAGACCCAGACUCCUACGGGAGCAGCAGUGGGGAAUUUUCCACAAUGAGUGAAAGCCUAACGAAGCAAUGCCGCAUGAAGGUAGAAGACUCAUGGGUCAUGAAAAGCAAUGACGGUAUCUGAGGAAUAAGCAUUGGCUAACUCUGUGCCAAUAGCCGCGGUAAGACAGAGAAUGCAUUCAUUAUCCUAGGGCUCAAUCCUGGAUAGACGGUGAAAACUACCAAGCUGGAGUAUGGUAUGGGCAGAAGAAAUUUUCGGUGGAGCAGUGAAUGUAUAGAGAUCAAGAAGAACACUAACGACAAAAGAACACUAACAAUAAAGCGUAUGUAGGUGGCUUUUCAAGUCCGUUGUCAAAUCCUAGGGCUCAAUCCUGACAGACAGUGGAAAGUACAAAACGUGUAUGGUAGGAGCAGCGGGAAUUUCCGGUGGAGAGAUGAAAUGCAUAGAGAUUGGGAAGAACACCAACGAUAAAAGCACUCUACGAGGCCAGCACUGACACGGAGAGACGAAUUCUAGGGGAGCAAAUGAGAUUAGAUACCUUGAUGGAUACUAGGCGAUAUGCAUAUCAACCCGUGGAGUGCUUUAGCUAACGCGUUAAGUAUCCCGCUAGGGGAGUACGUUCGCAGGAAUGAAACUCAAAGGAAUUGAUGGGGGCCCGCAUAAGCGAUGGAGCAUGUGGUUUACUUUGAUUCAAAGCGAAGAAACUUACCAGGGCUUGACAUAUGCCGUGAAUCCUCUUGAAAGAGAGGGGUGCCUUCAGGAACAUAGAUGCAGGCGGUGCAUGGUUGUCGUCAGCUCGCGUUGUAAGGUGUUGGGUUAAGUCUUGCAACGAGUACAAUCCUAGUGUUUAGCUACCACCAUUGAUUGUGGAACCUUGAAUAGACUGCUGGUGAUAAGCUGGAAGAAGAUGAGGAUGAUGUCAAGUCAUCAUGCCCUCUAUGUCUUGUGUGACAUGCAUGCAACAACGGGCAUGACAAAGGGUUGCGAUUCCAUGAGGGUGACAUAACUUCAAAAACAUGUCCAUAGUUUGGAUUGUAGGCUGCAGCUUGCCUGCAUGAAGUCGGAAUUACUAGUAAUCGCUGGUCAGCCAUACAGCGGUGAAUUUGUUCCAGGGCAUUGUACACACCGUCCAAAGUGCGCUUAUUGCAACGAUCAGUAACAUCUAACAUCUCUAGCCUCAACAAACUUGUAAACACACAAUCAUAA